CGCGCAGGGGCUGCGGGGCGUUCGGAGGCGCGGGGAAUCUGUGUAAAGGAAACGAGGCACGUUCCUGUUCCUGUGCCACUACUACGAAAAGAAACCAAAAAUAACAGCUGGAUGGUAUUUUCAGCCCACGCCCCCAGAAGCUGGAGUUAUACACAAAUGAGUCAUCUCCAGACUUAAAAAAAAAAAGAAAGAAAAGGCCGAGCGUGGUGACGGCACGCCUUUAACCCCAGCCUUGGGAAGGCUGAAACAGAGUGGCUGUGAGUUCGAGGUCAGCCUGGGAUUACUCAGUGAGUUACAGGUCAUCCUGGGCUAGAGUAUGACCCAACCUCGAAAAAUCAAAAACGCCGAAUGUGGUGGCGCAAGCCUCUAAUCCCAGCACUGGGGAGGCAGAGGAACACAUCUCAAGAUACUCCUCAGCAGUUUCUCAGACUAGCCAUCUCAAAAUACAACAAAGAACUUCAGCAGCAUGUGAGGGUGAGGAAUGUAACUCCAUGGUAGAGCAUUUGCCUGGCAUGCUCAAUUUCCAACCCUGAAAAAGAUAGCAACACCCUGUUGCAGAAAAGAAAAGGGGGGGGAAGCUUUUGUUCUUUUGGGCUUUUUACUAACUUGUUACUGUUUAACCUUCUGGAAUCCAAUAGUUUGUGAUUAAAAGGACAUUUCGGAAUUCCUUUUCUUGUCAAUGGAAUGGGCAAUCAGUUUAAUCACCAACAUUAUUAGCUUUAGGGAUUUAGUGGGGCUUUUUAAAGAUACCUCUAUCAGAUGAAAUGGAAUGAAACUUCUCAUUGUGUAACCCUGUGUUUCACACUGGAUGAAAGAAAACCCCAAGUUGAGUGAUGGUACAUGCCUGUUAGCCCAGCACUCAAGAGGCUGAGACAGUUUUGCCGUAAGUUUGAGGCCAGCCUGGGUUGUAUGGCAAGAUCCUGGCAAAGAAGGAAGAGAGAAAGUGAAGAAAACUUAAAAGUAGAGAAAAAUGCAAACAUAAAAGGCUGGGUUUGGUAGUGUAACCAUCUUGUAGCAAUGAAGAUAUUCCAGACACUUGAUACACUUUGGAUAUCAGACUACUGAAACAAUGGUCCUUAAGGACUUGGAAUUUUCCCCAGGAGUGUCAUGCUGGGAGAAGGAAAAGGAUGAAGCCUAGUGCCAGCCUGAGGAGGGAAGAGAUUUCACAUUGUUCUAACAACUUGUCAACCCACCUUACAGGAGAGAGAAGUGGAAACAUGAUGGGUGGGUCGGCAGCCUGACCAGGACUGCUUUGCCAUACGUAUGUCUUGUACUUAAACCUAUACUUCAUGUCAGCACCCUGAAAGCAGACUUGGAAGGAUCACUAGAUUUCUGUUCCUCUUCCCAAUGUGGGCAUCAAAUAAAUCUCCUUUCCCUAGCGA